UACGUAGGGGGCAAGCGUUGUCCGGAAUUAUUGGGCGUAAAGAGCGCGUAGGCGGUCCGAUAAGUCGGCUGUGAAAGUCAGGGGCUCAACCCUUGAAAGCCGGCCGAUACUGUCGGACUAGAGUCCGGAAGAGGCAAGUGGAAUUCCCGGUGUAGCGGUGAAAUGCGCAGAUAUCGGGAGGAACACCAAUGGCGAAGGCACUCUGCUAGGCCUGAUUUCGCGACUGACACUCAGGGACGAGAGCCAGGGGAGCGAAUGGG
rnacentral:rRNA from 1 species